rnacentral:lncRNA from 1 species
GAGGAGGUACCCACAUUUUCUGCCUUCUCUGCCUCAAUCAAUAUUGGAGUUUCUAAAGUAUGAUGUUCAUGUGCAACCAGUUCCGGUCCAUGGGGCGGUAACAAGCUAUUCAAAAAGCUGUGUUCAAUACAAUAAGUAUUUUCUGUCUCUACCAAAUUGUCAAUGGGUACUUCAAAUCGCCUCGCUAAGCGAGUGAUUGUAGAUAGAAAAUACAAGCAUUUACGGUCCUUGAAACAACAUUUUAUGGGCAAAUGCUGUUGAAUAGCAUAUCAGAGCAUGACCUUUUUCUUAUCAUAAUUAGAUACAUUAACAUAAGGAUCAGACGUGAACUUACAAACUUACCCCAAGUGCGUGCCGUUUCUAACAUACAUGAACAAGCAAUAUUCAAAGGUUUGCCCCUUGUCCCUGAAUUAACUUUUACUCCAUUGGGACAAAUAAAUUUCGCAGCUUCUUUCAUGAAGUUGAAAUUUUUAGCUUUCAUCUUAACUCUAAUUUCUUCAUCAUCAACAUCACUCAAAGAAUAUAAUUCAUUCAAAACCUUAGAGUUAAAAUUAAUAACCUUACCUCGCACUGUUGCUGUCAAGGUACUCGUAGAAUUCAAGCACAAUUUCUUUAACAUAACCCCUUGGAUUUUUCACGAAGGAUUCCCGCCGGAGAGAUCUGAUGUUCUUCAAAAUUUCACAUACCUUUUCGGCUUUUCUCCAUCAGUUGGCAAAAAAUUCAUUCCACAUUCUUCCACUAUAGUUCGAGUUAUUCCAGAGAAUAUCUCAAGUGCCAGUUCAAUGUGUUGUUUCUUAGAAACCUUACAAGAACUACAUCCUGAAAGGGUUCUCUUUAAUGAGAUCAUUUUUUUUCUUGAGGGUUUGAGAAGGAGAACUAGAAGAUUGAAAGGAAAUCUAUGACAAAGAGUUAGAAAAUAGAAAAAAGGGAAAAGAAAUUUACUACUGGUUGGCGGCCAUGGCUGAGGAAUGUUGGUGUAGAAGGGUGGUGGGCGGUGGCUUUUUGGUGGUGGUAGGUGAAAGCAACAGGGUAAAAGGUUCAAAUUGGAUGUGGGGUUUGCUUGUUUUGUUUCUUUGGGAAUGCUACGUUAGGUAAAACUUAUUUAAAGCAGAUUUUUUCCCUUUUUUCUUAUUUUAUUUACAAAACUAUUCCAUAACAUGUCUUAAAUCACAACGUGGCUUUCAUAAUCAUUUUUUAAGUUGUAACAUGUUAUGGCUGAUAUUUGAUUAGUUAAAAUAUCUUCUUCUUUUCUUUUUUUUUUAUAAAACAUAUACUAAGAUUAUAAUACUUAUGUAUAGUAGUAAACUUAUACAUAUUUGCUACAUUAGUCCAAUAGUAGUAUAUAAUAAUUUUCUUUUUAACUAACUUAAAAUGUGUAAGACGUACUACUAAUAGUUGAUAAUAACUAUCUACAUAUUAUUAUUAUUUUUUAAGUAACAUUUAUAUAUACACCCAAUUUUAGAAAGAUUAGAGUACCUAAAUUUUUUGUUUUAUUUUUAUUUUUUAAUACUUGUUCUAAGGAUUAAAUUCAUAUGUAUAAUUUUGUAUAUAAACAUAAAAGAAAAAAUAAUAUCACUACGGUUCAUUAGUUAUAUAAUAAAAACUUAAAACAAAUAAAUAAAUAUACACAUAUAUAUAUGUACGAAUCUAAAUAUUCUGUAGUAUUUUAUUUUCUUUUUUUCGUUUUUUUUUUUAAAAUAUUUUCUUAGAUUUACUCAUAUUAGUAAUAAAAAGUACUAAUAAUAUUCACAAACAAAUAGAAAAAUAUAGUUUAAGUUUAAUGUCGUCAACUCGACUUGAAUUUUUUUUUCAAGAAAAAAGAAUUGUUGAAGCAUGUUUCUCAAACAUUUUGGUCGCAUAAGUUUUCAAUUGAUGUCCAUUUACCUUGAACUUUUCUCUACCAUCUAUGUGUUGUAUUUCAAUUGCACCAUAAGGGGUAACAUUUGUAACAUUAUAGGGACUUGUCCACCUGGACUUUAAUUUUUCUGUAAUAGCCUAAGUCAGCUAUUGUAAAGAAAGGACAAGAUCUCCACUUUUGAAGCUUUUUUGUCUGAUCAAAUUGUCAUGCCACUUCUUUGUUUCUUCCUUGAAAAUUUUGGCAUUUUCAUAAGUUUCUAACUUUAAUUCUUCUAACUCAUUAACUAGAAAAAAUUUAUUUCUUCGAGCAAAGGUUAAUUCAAGAUUCAGUGCUUUGUAAUAAUCCAACCGAUCGCUUUGAGCAUUUGCGUUCCGUUCAGCUAUUUGAAGUCUUGAGCAGUAUUGUAUGAUGAAUUAUGACUUGUGUAAUCGUCGGUUUUGAUUUUCAAGUUAUUCGGAAUUGAUUUGGAAGAAUGAUUCUCAACUAAGAAGCCUUCAGUUGGAAGAGUUGACCAAGUUUGAGUUUUGAGCAUUUGACCACGGAUCAAAGUUUUGACGGUUCCGUUAGGUGCGGAUGGUGAUUUUGGACUCGGGCGUAUGCCCGUAUUUGCAUUUGGAUAUUUCUAGAAGGUUUCGGCACUACUUGGCAAAAGUUAAAAAUUUGAAGGUCAGAAAUAUUCAUAAAUUUGACCGAGAGUUGACUUUGAUGAUAUCGGAUUCAGAUUGUGUUUCCUGGAAUUGGAAUACCUUCGUUGUGUCAUUUGGGACUUGUGCGUAAAAUUUAAAUUUAUUCCGAGUUGAUUUGAUAUAUUUCGGUUCGAGUUUUGGAAGUUAAAAGAUUCAAAGUUCAUUAUGUUUAGUUUGAGGUGUGAUUCGUCGUUUCGAUAUUGUUAUGUAUGAUUUGAGGCUUGGAAUAAGUCUGUAUUAUAUUAUAGUACUUGUUGGUAUAUUUGGAUGUAGUCCGGAGAGGCUUUGGAUAAAAUACGCCAAGUGUAUCAAUCUUCUCUAUCAACGAUUUUUCUCUCUUUCUAUCUUUCAGUACCAAUCCGAAAUUCUUUCUCCCUCAACAAUCGCGAUUUCUCUCCAUGUUUUCAAGCACAAUUUUGUUCCUAAAUCAUGCUCUCUCACAUAUAGGUAAGGAGUUUUAGGUAGUUUUUGCUUAGUUCACUUUGAAUCUUUUAUUUCACAAUACUAAGCAAUUCAGUUUCAGCCAUUGUUAGGGUUUUGCAGAGAAAUAGAAUUUUUGAUGUUAAUGGCUGACUUAAGCGCUCCGAAGAGGGUAACUCGAGGUAUACCAACUACUGACCUCAAUUUUGAUGGGCCAUCUUUUGAUUUGCGCAUCACUCAAGACAAAGAUGUAUUUGCAGGCUCUCUUUCUGCCAUGGCAGCCGAGAAGCGAAGCAAACAAAGCAAUGACCCCAUGCAACCAUUGAAACAAGAUGAAGGUACAAAAUCUACUAAAAUAGCAUAGGUUGUUGAAGUUUCAAAAGUUUUCGUGCACACCACAAGUAUAGAAAAGAGGAGAAAAAUCAGUGAUGUCGCUUCGGGGAGUAAAGGAAAAACUUUAGCUAAAGGCGAGCAUUCAAAAUCAGUGAAGGAGAAG